CAUGGUCAAAGAAUCGUCACUGUUCGAAGCUUGCAAAACUGGAGUGGUUCAUACACUCAAUCAAUGCUUUGGGUAGAAAGUCUCCGACCAGACCGUAUGCGGAAAACGUAAUGAGAUUUAAAAAUUUUACAAUCUUUAAAUCAACUCAUUAAGUGGACUGGGGAUACUUGUAUUUUCAGCCCGCUUUCCAACCUGUAUACUCCUUUGAGUUGCAGUGCUUUUCGGUAUGGGAAUCUCGCUAGAUUUCAAACCAUAGUUAUGACGAUUGUUCAGUUUUUGCUGAAUAACCCAAUGGAGCUUACUUUUCUUGGCUCAU
rnacentral:RNase_MRP_RNA from 15 species